AGAGUUUGAUCCUGGCUCAGGAUGAACGCUAGCUACAGGCUUAACACAUGCAAGUCGAGGGGAAACGAUAGAGAAAGCUUGCUUUUUCUAGGCGUCGACCGGCGCACGGGUGAGUAACGCGUAUCCAACCUGCCCACCACUUGGGGAUAACCUUGCGAAAGUAAGACUAAUACCCAAUGAUAUCUCAAGAAGACAUCUGAAUGAGAUUAAAGAUUUAUCGGUGAUGGAUGGGGAUGCGUCUGAUUAGCUUGUUGGCGGUGUAACGGCCCACCAAGGCGACGAUCAGUAGGGGUUCUGAGAGGAAGGUCCCCCACAUUGGAACUGAGACACGGUCCAAACUCCUACGGGAGGCAGCAGUGAGGAAUAUUGGUCAAUGGGCGAGAGCCUGAACCAGCCAAGUAGCGUGCAGGAUGACGGCCCUAUGGGUUGUAAACUGCUUUUAUAAGGGAAUAAAGUGAGUCUCGUGAGGCUUUUUGCAUGUACCUUAUGAAUAAGGACCGGCUAAUUCCGUGCCAGCAGCCGCGGUAAUACGGAAGGUCCGGGCGUUAUCCGGAUUUAUUGGGUUUAAAGGGAGCGUAGGCCGGAGAUUAAGCGUGUUGUGAAAUGUAGACGCUCAACGUCUGCACUGCAGCGCGAACUGGUUUCCUUGAGUACGCACAAAGUGGGCGGAAUUCGUGGUGUAGCGGUGAGAUGCUUAGAUAUCACGAAGAACUCCGAUUGCGAAGGCAGCUCACUGGAGCGCAACUGACGCUGAAGCUCGAAAGUGCGGGUAUCGAACAGGAUUAGAUACCCUGGUAGUCCGCACGGUAAACGAUGGAUGCCCGCUGUUGGUCUGAAUAGGUCAGCGGCCAAGCGAAAGCAUUAAGCAUCCCACCUGGGGAGUACGCCGGCAACGGUGAAACUCAAAUGAAUUGACGG
rnacentral:rRNA from 1 species